rnacentral:tRNA from 3 species
GAAUGGAAAGCGAAAAAUUGCAAUCAGUUUCGACCUGAUCUUUGGUAAAUUUACCUCCAUUCU